rnacentral:rRNA from 1 species
AACCGGGAUUGCCCUAGUAACGGCGAGUGAAGCGGCAAGAGCUCAAAUUUGAAAGCUGGCCCCCUCGGGGUCCGCAUUGUAAUUUGCAGAGGAUGCUUCGGGAACGGCCCCCAUCUAAGUGCCCUGGAACGGGCCGUCAUAGAGGGUGAGAAUCCCGUCUGGGAUGGGGUGGCCGCGCCCGUGUGAAGCUCCUUCGACGAGUCGAGUUGUUUGGGAAUGCAGCUCUAAUUGGGUGGUAAAUUUCAUCUAAAGCUAAAUAUUGGCCGGAGACCGAUAGCGCACAAGUAGAGUGAUCGAAAGAUGAAAAGCACUUUGAAAAGAGAGUUAAACAGCACGUGAAAUUGUUGAAAGGGAAGCGCUUGCGACCAGACUCGCCCGCGGGGUUCAGCCGGCACUCGUGCCGGUGUACUUCCCCGCGGGCGGGCCAGCGUCGGUUUGGGCGGCCGGUCAAAGGCCUCUGGAAGGUAACGCCUCUCGGGGCGUCUUAUAGCCAGGGGUGCCAUGCGGCCUGCCCGGACCGAGGAACGCGCUUCGGCUCGGACGCUGGCAUAAUGGUCGUAAGCGACCCGUCUUGAAACACGGACCAAGGAGUCUAACAUCUACGCGAGUGUUCGGGUGUCAAACCCGUGCGCGCAGUGAAAGCGAACGGAGGUGGGAACCCCCCGGGGUGCACCAUCGACCGAUCCUGAUGUCUUCGGAUGGAUUUGAGUAAGAGCGUAGCUGUUGGGACCCGAAAGAUGGUGAACUAUGCCUGAAUAGGGCGAAGCCAGAGGAAACUCUGGUGGAGGCUCGCAGCGGUUCUGACGUGCAAAUCGAUCGUCAAAUUUGGGUAUAGGGGCGAAAGACUAAUCGA